GACGAACGCUGGCGGCGUGCUUAACACAUGCAAGUCGAACGGAAAGGCCCUGCUUUUGUGGGGUGCUCGAGUGGCGAACGGGUGAGUAACACGUGAGUAACCUGCCCUUGACUUUGGGAUAACUUCAGGAAACUGGGGCUAAUACCGGAUAGGAGCUCCUGCUGCAUGGUGGGGGUUGGAAAGUUUCGGCGGUUGGGGAUGGACUCGCGGCUUAUCAGCUUGUUGGUGGGGUAGUGGCUUACCAAGGCUUUGACGGGUAGCCGGCCUGAGAGGGUGACCGGCCACAUCGGGACUGAGAUACGGCCCAGACUCCUACGGGAGGCAGCAGUGGGGAAUAUUGCACAAUGGGCGGAAGCCUGAUGCAGCAACGCCGCGUGCGGGAUGACGGCCUUCGGGUUGUAAACCGCUUUCGCCUGUGACGAAGCGUGAGUGACGGUAAUGGGUAAAGAAGCACCGGCGAACUACG
rnacentral:rRNA from 1 species